rnacentral:rRNA from 1 species
AGGACGAACGCUGGCGGCGUGCCUAACACAUGCAAGUGGAGCGACGAACCAGGCUUCGGCCUGGGGCAGAGCCGCGAACGGGUGAGUAACACGUGGGUAACCUGCCCUGAUGAUUGGGACAACCCGAGGAAACUCGGGCUAAUACCAAAUGUGCCCCUUGGCCUCAAGGCCUCUGGGGAAAGGAAGCUUCGGCCUCCGCAUCGGGAUGGGCCCGCGGCCCAUUAGCUUGUUGGUGAGGUAAUGGCUCACCAAGGCUACGAUGGGUAGCUGGUCUGAGAGGACGAUCAGCCACACUGGGACUGAGACACGGCCCAGACUCCUACGGGAGGCAGCAGUGGGGAAUCUUGCGCAAUGGGCGAAAGCCUGACGCAGCAACGCCGCGUGAGGGAUGAAGGUCUUCGGGUUGUAAACCUCUUUCGAGCAGGGACGAUUGUGACGGUACCUGCAGAAGAAGCUCCGGCCAACUACGUGCCAGCAGCCGCGGU